UGAUGAUGAUGAUGAGGAUGAGGAUGAUGAGGAUGAGGAUGAGCACCUUUGACUAUCAAUAUAUUGAACACCACCCUUUCUGUUUUCGUCUUCCUCCUUCUCCUCCUCCUUCUAA
rnacentral:miRNA from 1 species